UUAAAUAGGAAAUUGGUGUAAUUGGAAGUUUGGAAGUAUAAUUUUAGAGUCAAUUUGAAUUUUGAUUUUUAAUUUAACAUUUAACAAAAUUAGAAAAUAAAAUAUAAAAUAAAAAAGAAGAAGAUAAAAGAAUUAGGAAUAAAAAUGGGAAGAGCCUUCUCCAAAAUAUUUUUUCCCAAAUUAUUUCUCCCCACCUAAGACCUUCCCUAAAAUAUUCCCCUACCUAAAAUCUUUCCCCCAAAAUAUUACCUCACAUAACAGCUUCUUCCCAAAUAAAGAACCCCCCAUAACACCCUACCCAUACACUCCAUAUAACUAUUUCUACACAAAACAGAAAUAUGUGGGGAAGGGAACAGACGAAAAUACAGAAAGCUAAAAAAAAUGGGCGAAAAAUACACCAAAAAAAGGAGCUGCAAUUCAUAAAAAAGAGACCCCCAUCCCCUGAGGAGAUUGUCUUCAUACCAUCCAAACGACCUCUGAACUCAUCCUUCGACAUCUCAAGAGCAGAGGCAACGGGAGUCCUCAGUUCUUCAACGACCAGUCGCACCAGACCCCCACCCCAUCGACUUGCCUGUUUCAACAUCAACAGCCACCGAACCUCAUUUCAUCUCCCUCACGUCGAAGAACAAACGCACACACAAACAAAGUGAGGGAACAAGCUUAGAGCUGGAAUAGAUAGACGCGAACAGAAAUCGAAAACAGUACAAAAACUUCUUCGUCUUCUCCAUUCUCGAUUUGGUUCAUAGUUUUCUGCAACAUGGAGUUUAAUUGAUGUUUGGAGCCGAAUUUGAGUUUGAAUCGUGUGGAGGUCGCCAUUGAAGGUCUAUUGUUCCGAUCUGGAUGAGGUUCCGAUUCGUUGUCUCCGGUCAGGUUCGCAAUCGCUACAUUAAUCGCUAGCUGCGAAUUUGUUCUUCCUCCAUCUCUGGAUUCAUCGAAUUCAAGUUGUAAGGUACAUGUUAAUUAUAUUAAGCUGCAUCUCUUUCUAUUUAUCUUCCAAUGCAUAAACAUAAGGUUUCUCUUUCUGAUUUGACAUAGUUAUUUGUGAUUUUUCAAUUGAUCUGCAUUUUAUUUGUUUUCUAUGUGAUAAUAGCUAUAAACAUACGACAUUGAUGACUCUUCUUUUGUAGUCACUCUACUUCUGUUAUUGAAUGUGAUUAAGUUCUAUUCUUAAACUUGCAAAUGGGACGAGAAUGGCUUAGCUUUGUUCAUUUUUCUGUAGUGGGAUUUUGAUGCAGUUAAGCUGUUUGAAGAAAUGAUGCAGUAGAAGAACGAAUAGGAAGAUAAUAAACGUUUUGUUAAGUGUUUAGACGGGUCCGUCUAUCUUUUAGCGUGAACUGAUUAUGUGCUUCUCGUAGUGGUCAAAUUAGACAAGAGGGGUGCUCUAAUGAUAAGCAAUCCCCACUUCCAACCGAGAGGUCGUAAGUUUGAGUCUUCCCAAGAGCAAUGUGGGAAGUUCUUGGAGGGAAGGAUGCCUGGGGUCUAUUUGAAAACGGCCUGUCUACCCAAGGGUAGGGGUAAGGUCUGCGUACACACUACCCUCUCCAGACCCCACUAAGUGAGAUUAUACUGGAUUGUUGUAGUGGUCAAAUUAGCUUUAUCUCUAAUAAUAGUAAAUGUUGGUUAACUCUAAAUACUACAUACAGAAAGUGGAUGAUGAUUAACAUAUUCAAGUUGUUGCAGCCAGUGGUUUAUGGAUUGUUUAGGUCAUUCUGCUAUAGGAUGUGAUGUAUUUCAAUUUAUUUGUAUUUGUAUUUUUGACUAUACAGAUUCGCUAAUUCCUAGUAGUAUGUAUUUUGACAUUUGACUGGAUUAAUCAAGAGCCUUACAAUCUCCUGAUUGAACGUAGUUAUUAGGGAGCGGAGGCGAGCCAUAUUCAAUAACGCCAAUAAUGAUGGCCCUCCCAAAUUAGUAUAGAAGCCUUUAAAUAAUAAAUGGGACGAGCCUCACUCAAUAAAAAUGUAAAAUUGCGGGCCCCCAAUAAUUUUUUUUAAAAUAUUUAGAUAGCAAAUUCACGGCCUGAGUGGCGACAUCAUUUAUCUUCCAAGUGGCGACUCUGAAAUCUUAAUAAAUAAAUUCUUUUCCGAUUGUCCUUUAAUUGGAAAACUUCUUUACGCCCUUUGCGGGGAUAUACAGUGAAAAAGGAGGUGUGACACCUGCUUGGAGUUUGGUGCAGUAAGAAUUAAACUCCUUAUUUGAAGUAAGCUUGAUUGCUUCUCUUUGAUGCAUUAUACAUGUGUGAAUGGUUUCCUUGCUUGUGAACUAUUUGUCCCCUUUUCCCUUGCCCUUGCUUGUAUGACUAUUUUGUUUUUCAAAACUGGUCUACCUAAAUUGAUUUUAAAAGGACUCUUGCACUCUCCUAUUACUAUUUUUUUCAAACUGUCUUUCAACUGUUUCUAACUCAACUCCUUCAAACUCCAUCAUAAUCACACACUACUCUUAGAAUUAGGUCAUGCCCCCUUUUGUAAGCAUUACCUUGGGUACCUUGAGUAUCAACUGAACUUUGAUGCACAAGGUUGGCACUUCCACACUUGCACUUGUAAAUGGUGAUUUGUUUUGGGUGCCUGGUAUUGGCCGAGGUCUCGAGAGACCCUAGGGAACUUUGCCGCACCCAACCUCUUGAUGAAGGCUUUGAAGCUCGAAAUAAGUGAGGUUGGAGGUCUGGGCCUGGCUGAAAGCUCCCUGUAGAAUAACUUCUUGUUUUAUUCAUCAUUACUGUAAUUUAAUUACCUAACAUGUAAUAAUGUGUAAAUAACUAUGGGGGUUUAUAGUGAAAUUGGGACGGCUAUGCAUGAUUAUUAAGGGUAUGAGUAGAAAACAUGAUUAUAGGAUUUUACUUACCUAUUUGUGCAAUAGAAACCAUGUAUAGGACACACAUCUCACAUAUAGAAAUCCUGCUUUUAGGUCUCUUUACUUUCAUCUUGUUAUUUCACUUAUCCUAUGAUCACAAACAAUUAAUAAUUAACAAGUUACUACAUUUAGAUACCAUGCUUUAGGAUUCUUACAUGCAUUAGAUACAAUGUACUUAGGGUUUAUUUGCAAUUGUCGAAACGCUUCGUUAGUGUAUUUUAUCUAAUAACACCAGCCUAGUUAACUAUAAAACUGGAAACAAAUAUGCAUGCCCACUGCCUUCAACGUUUAGGCAAGCCUUAGGCCGGAUAAAAUUGACUAAUCGUCUUAAAUCAUGCUUGAGUUAUUCCACCUCUUUAAAUUGUCCAAAUUUGUUUUGCUCUAUGAGGCCCGCCUCAUUUUUCCUACUAAACUUACGUCCUAUUUUUUAUCACAUCCGUGCAAAAAUCCGUUUUCCACUAAAUUAGCCUCUCUGGGGUCCGCCUGAUUUUUCCUAUUAAACUUUCGUCCUGUUUUGUAUCAGAUCUGUGCAAAAAAUAUAUUUUUCGCUAAAUUACCUUUCAAUCCAGAACUGGACUACUAUUCUCUAAAAUCUUAUCUGAAUACUAUAUCUUCUGUGAUUUUAGAAAAACCAUAGUUCAAAGCUAAUAUAUUUACCACCCUCUUUCAAUUAUACUUAUGUAAUUUUGAAUAAUUGUACAUCUGUGUGUAAUGACCCGACCCGUCGUCUCAGAUAUCUCUGCCCCGUUUUUCCCAUUAUAUGCUUCUAUAUGUUUGGUGAAUUUGAAGUAAUUCGGAUAGAGUUUGGGCAGAAAUGAGACAAUUAGUCCCUUUAUGAGAAGGUUAGUUUGGAAAAAGUCAACUAAAUGUUGACUUAUGGGUUAGAGGGAGCAUAAUGGAUUUCCGAUGAUUCGACUAGUUUCGGGUGAUGAUUUGUGACUUAGGAUCUCAAUCAGAAUUGAAUUUGGAGGUUCGGUGUAGAAUAAGGCUUGAAUUGGCUAAGUUUGAAUUUCGACGAAGUCCGAUGAUAGUUGAGAUUUUGAUCCGGGGGUCAAAAUUUAAUUCCGGCAGUUAAAGUAGAUCAGUUAGGUGAUUUUGGAUAUUUGUGAAACUUUUCAGAUCAUUCAGAGGUGUUUAGGUCGGGUUUUGGAUCAAAUGUGUAUUUCAGCAGUUUUAGAAGAACUUAGGCUUGAGUCCGAUGUAAAUUUGAUGUUUGAUUUUAGUUUUGGUAUUUUGAGAGUGAAACUAAGUUUGAAUGAUCAAAUGUGAUGUCUUAGUAUGUCCGUAAGCGGUUCUGAGGAGUUCAGGUGAGUUUCGGAUAGGUUUGGGCUGCGUUGUGCUCGUUUUUCUUACGCUUCGACGUCGUUUCUUCAAGCAUAAAUGAUAUCAUAUUGAACAAAUAAGCUCCGAUUACUUAUUUGAAUGAAGCACUAGAUCCGUAUCGUAAUUAUGGACCCGUAACAAAAAGAAUCAUCGAAUUUGGACAUCGUAUGAGAAUUUUAUGGUUGUUUUACCAAGGUUUGCCCAGAUUGUUCAAUUUAAUGACGAAAUUGCCCCUGACGUCGUAUUCAAAACCUGCACUAUUUGUAGAUCUUAAAAUCUACAUAUCUCCUUUAUUAUAAGGUCAAAUUGAGUGAUUCAAAAGCCUAAAUUCAUUAAAAUUUCAUAAGGAAUCCAUUGGGAGCAGCAAAACACGUGAACAGUAUACCUAUAAUGAUCAGGUCGAGUUUUCUUAUAUUUUUUGAAUGGGAAGAAGCUUCCGAGAUGAUUUUUAAGAGGGAAAAUCAGUGGGUAAUGCAGAGGUAAGUUAUUUGAUUAUUAAAACUUGUUAUAGGUGAUUAUAAACCAUAAUCACAGCCUUUAAUUCAUGAAAAACAGUAGAAAAAUAGGAUUUUGGGGCUUGAGAUUAUGAGACCUUUAGGGGUCGAUUUGAGGGGUCAAACGGACUCCGAUUUGGUGUUCUUUAUAUGUACGGACUCGUGGCGAGACGAGAAAUCCAAAGAUGUAAUUUUGAAAAAUUUUCGAGAAGUGGGCUCGGGGCUCGGAUUUUGCCAACUUUGUGAUUUUUAGUGUUUUUCGAAUAAUUUCAGUUGGGUUAUGUUUAUUUAGUCCAUAUUUAUGUAUUCGUUAUGAUUUUGACUAGCUUUGACACGCGAAGAGGUUGAUACAGGAGGAAAGGGCAUCGUUGGCUAGUCUGCGGCCGGUUAGAGGUGAGUAGUUUGUAUAGAUUAUGGCUUGAGGGUUUGAAACCCCGGUUUAUCACAUCGUGAUGCUAUGUUAGGGCGUGAAUCGCACCCCGUGGCAGGUGCGGGAUGGUAUAUGAUUGGGGAUUGUGACUUGGUCCAUCCCGAGAGCGGAGUAUAAGUUAUUGGCGGCUGAUACGCACAUUGUGUAGUUGAUAAUUGGGUUUAAUGCUAUGUUUGGGGCCUUGUGCCGAUAUGUAGUACCCGUCUAAGGUGAAUAUCUGUUUGAUAACAUGAUUUGCAUAAUCAUUGAUCUCAGUCCUGUGUUUAAUCACCGUAAUGAAAUGCAAAGUCACUUUUCCUGAAAUUAAAUAAUUAAAUUAUAUUCUUCCUAAGAAUUGGAAACUGGAAAGUGUUUAAUCACCGUAAUGAAAUGCAAAGUCACUUUUCCUGAAAUUAAAUAAUUAAAUUAUAUUCUUCCUAAGAAUUGGAAACUGGAAAAUAUGUUGAACCUGUUAUGUGACUCCUAUGCAUACUGUGGUCUGAGCAUGGAUCGGGCUACACGCCGUUGCGAUUAUACACAUUGGUUCGGGCUACACUUCGUAGCGAUUAUAUACAUUGAUAUUGAGGCCGAGAGCCUGUUUUAUGCCAAAACCUGGUUGAUAUUGCGCUUGGAAUGAAGGAGCCCCUCCGGAAUAUGUAUACACCCCCAGUUAGCGCCGUCGACGAUAAAUAAGUAUGGAUGGCUCGGGUUGCACGCCCCAACGUAUUCAUGUGCAUUGCAUUGCAUUUUUUAUCUGAUACUUUGUUGCUAUUUUGAUACUGUUUUGUUGUUUGUUCGUAGCUAAGUUAUAGGAUUGUUAGCUAUAACUUUGCUUUGUGGCAUUUCGUGGAUUUCUUACUUUUAGACAUUUUUCUAUGCUUAUUAUUCACUGAGUCGGUAGUACUCACCCCUACUCCCUGCACCUUGUGUGCAGAUUCAGGUACACAGGAGGCCUAGCUGACGCUCAUAGUCUCCCGUUAUUUCCAGAGUCGUUGAGGUAGCUGCAUGAUGUUCGCAGGACCUGACUGCUCUUCAUUAUUUUUCUCAGUUCAUUAUUAUUAUUUACUUUUCUAGAUUUUUAUAUUGUUAUUCAGA
rnacentral:lncRNA from 1 species